UAUACAAAUUGACUUACAUUAUAACAUGCACGGAUAAUCGUGUUUUCUCAACUGACAAUUCACUUGACAUUGACAAGCAUCGCGUACGCGCAUGAUUCAGUGAAUUUAGUGAACAUACAAACUAAGUCGAAGAAAAAUACUGAUUUGCUGUGUGAACUAAAGGAAAUGCCACCCAAAAUGUAAGUUUCUCUAAUUUAUUUAUAGAAAAAGUUAUAGUUCGUUUGAUCAUUAACUGGUUUUGUCAUGAAUAUGUUUAAUUUCAGACGAUGCUUCGGCGCACAAGAAAAUGCUAGCCAAAUAUAUAUAACUCAGCAUCCCCUGUUCGCCUACACCUACAGGGAGAUCCAUGAGCCUCUCGGAAGCCAGAGAUACAAAAUGCAAUGCUUCACAUUGCACAUAACUUCUAAGAUCCAGAAGAAAGGAUUGAAGAUGGUCCGUCGGGCCUGGGCAUUAUGAUCAUCGAGGGGCGGCACACGGAAGCCGGCCGAGGAAUCUUCGUCUCCGACUUACAAGAAGGCAGCGCUGCCGAACAGUCAUGACAUAUUGGAGGCUUGAAAGUGCACAUACCCAUACAUUGGACGUUAAGCUCAACGAGACCAUGCGAUGCAUCUCAGGCACUAUCCGAUCUACAACCGCCACUGGCUGCCGGCAUUGAGUCACAUUGCCCCUCCUCACAUCCGACGACUCAAGGCGUUGAAGAGGGAGGCUGAGAAUAUCACGAAUAACCCCACCCUGACCCUGUGCUACAGCUGGGAGCCUGAGCAGCUUUAAUAUUUCGGAUAGGUGGAUAGCGGAAUGGUCAGCUUCGGCAGCUCGGAGUUGCUGUAUAUCUGACCCAACUAAAAAACCAAAAGGGUUUGACCUUCCUCGGAAAAUCUGGUGCCGCCUGAGAACCGGACACUCAUACCCUGGGCCUGUUGAGGACCUGAAGACCGUGACACCUGACUUGGUUGCUUAGCUUGGCAACCUCAAGGCUACACUCUGAAUGCCACUUUAUUGGAGCAUUCCACGAGCUGUCCCGUACAAACGCAUUUUAUUUCCUGUGUUGCGACUUUUUUUUUUCGCCAUUUAAAGCAAGCUAAUAAUUUUCCGUGCAUGUUUGACCAUUUGUCAUAGAAAAGGAAACUCUUAUACCUGCAAAUCUCCAGAAAAUCUGCAUUUCUACGGGACAAACGGUAGUCAAUUUCAUGGAAUGCUCCAUUGCCAAAACAUGAUAAGUUGAUGGCAGAAAAAAUAUUAGGAAUACAAACCAUAUACCUACAUAUAAAUUCUAUGUUAAGUAUGUACUAAGUUAUUCUAGGUUAAGUACUAACUUAUUGUCUACUCUAUACAUAGGUAAUUACAUUUAGCAAGACAUGUUGGCCGUGGGUACCAAGCUCAGCAUGUGCUAGACUGGCGUCCAGCGCUGGUUUUCAGUUUGGCCCCUUUUUGUUGGAGGUCUGAGAGGAAUGUUGAUCUUUUCUACACCGUUAAGCAUUCUAUUUAUAUUGGAAACGAAACUUAUAGAUGAGCAGUUAUGAAAUAGCAAUAAAUGUGCCCCGGGCGACGUCCAAGGGGGGGCGCCAAAAUGGGCUAAAGACUACCUCUCCGCCUUGCCAAAGGCAGCAGGGAAACUUUUGUCAGUCGUAUUUACCACCACUGUGAAGUGUGAAAUGCGGAUGGUAAUCUGGCCCACA